rnacentral:misc_RNA from 1 species
GAUGAAGAACGUAGCGAAAUGCGAUACGUAAUGUGAAUUGCAAAUUCAGUGAAUCAUCGAGUCUUUGAACGCACAUUGCGCCCCCUGGUAUUCCGGGGGGCAUGCCUGUCCGAGCGUCAUUGCUGCCCUCAAGCACGGCUUGUGUGUUGGGCCCCGUCCUCCGAUCCCGGGGGACGGGCCCGAAAGGCAGCGGCGGCACCGCGUCCGGUCCUCGAGCGUAUGGGGCUUUGUCACCCGCUCUGUAGGCCCGGCCGGCGCUUGCCGAUCAACCCAAAUUUUUAUCCAGGUUGACCUCGAAUCAGGUAGGGAUACCUGCUGAACUUAAGCAUAUCAAUAAGCGGAGGA